CAAGACCAGGUCGAUAAUUCUCUCCAAGCAGUCCAUUUCCCUGUCCAAGCUCUAACAGAGAGAGAGAGAGUCAACUCUCUAAUGGACUCCAACAACAAUAACAACUACUCUCCCUCGUCCACCUCCUCCCCUCCCCACCCGACCAGCACCGGCACCACCAGCAUCAGCACCACCACUGACCCAGUUCAAUCCUGGUGGGAAUCAGUCUCCAAAGCCCGUUCACGCAUCCUCUCCCUCUCCUCAAUCCUCCCUUCACACCCUUCUUCCUCUUCCUUCUCCUUUUCCUCCCUAGCCGACUCCGACCGCCCUGCCAUUUCCUUUCUCUCUUCCCCAGAAGCUUACUCUCACAUCUCCUCCUCCCUUUCUUCUCCGCUUUCCGGCUCUGGCUCCGACCCCCUCUGCCAAUGGCUUUACGAAACUUACCUUUCCUCUGAUCCUAACCUCCGUCUCAUUGUCCUCUCUUUCCUUCCUCUUCUGUCUGGCAUUUAUCUCUCUCGGAUCCACUCUUCCGAUUCCUCUUCUGCUCCUUCCCUUGCUGGCUUCGAAGCUGUUCUUCUUGCCAUCUAUUCGUCCGAGGUUAAAUCUCGUGGCGGAAAGCCUGUGAUUGUCCAAAUUCCUCAUCUUUCUCACCCUUCUCUUUAUCAUAUCCCGCGAAACAAGCCGCAUAAAUCGCAGGUUCAGGCUCCUUCUACUGGGGUUCUGUCCCCCCCACUUGAGCCCCAGAUCGCUAUUAAGUCUACAAAAAGGCCUGUCAUUGUUGGGGUCGCUUUGGACUGUUACUUCAAACACAUCUCACAGAUGCCCAGUUGGUCUAAAGUCGAAUUGUGCCGGUUUGCGGCCGCCUGGGCUGGACAGGAUUGUGCUUGCCAAGAUAAAUUUGAUGAAUUUGAUGAUGCUGAUUAUUUCUUGGAGGGAAGGAAUGUAAUGAUAAGCAGUAAUGGGAUUGAAGACAGCUCGGGGAUCUCUGCGUCUGAGCCUAAGGGAGUAAGGAUUCCUCUGCCUUGGGAGAUUUUGCAGCCAUUGUUGAGGAUUUUAGGGCAUUGUUUGUUGGGGCCAUUGAAUACACAAGAUGCUAAGGAUGCUGCUUCUGUUGCUGUAAGAAGGUUGUAUGCUAGAGGGUCUCAUGAUUUGGUUCCACAGGCGAUUUUAGCGACCAGGAGUCUAAUUCAGCUUGAUAAGAGAACGCGUGAAACUGAAAAGGCAACAGCUGCAAAUACUUCUUCAAAUGCUAACACCCCCGCCAAAGCUAAGAAGCCUGAAAUUCUCCUAGUCUCAAAGUGAAAGUGGUUUGUUUUGGCUGCGGUUGGCGUGGCGGGUAACCUCUAGGUUUAAAUCAUUAAUUUUAUUAAUGCUUCAUAAUACCUACUUUAAAUCUGUCAUAGCUCUUUGCAAUGGAUCUUACAGAACAUGCUCAUCUAUGGCAUGUUUCUUGGGUACCUGUGACUAUGAGUUGCAGCUGGAUUCCUCCAACAAGGGUUUUGUACCUUCUGAGGUGAAAAUGCUCGACAUUCAAAACAGCAAGAGAAUGGCAUCGAACAGCUAGAGAUGCUUAUGUUUAGAGGCGUACCAUUUCAAGAAAGAUGAAUACCAUGAUCAUUAUUCUGUAAACAAAUCUGUGUUUGGUAUAUAUGUGGUCUUCUAUUUAAUGAGUGCUGUUGUUACUUUGUUGAAGGUAUGCAAAUAGUGAGGAGGACAUGCUUGGCGUUGUUGUUGUUGUGUUGUAUACAGGGUUUAUGAAUUCCAAGGCUUGCGAGCCAUAGUUGCCACCUUUUAUCUAAGUUUCUGCGAUUUGAUUUC